ensembl:rRNA 5S_rRNA 5S ribosomal RNA
CAUGGCCGGCUUGUUAAUGCUUGAUCUCGUCAGAUCUCUAAAGCUAAUCAAGGCCAGGCCUGGUCAGUACUUGGAUAGGAGUCUACUGGGAAUAUCAGGUGCCAGAG